GACUACAUGAAGCUGGAAUCGCUAGUAAUCGCGCAUCAGCCACGGCGCGGUGAAUACGUUCCCGGGCCUUGUACACACCGCCCGUCAAGCCAUGGAAGCCGGGGGUGCCUGAAGUGCGCUGCCGCAAGGAGCGCCCUAGGGUAAAACCGGUGACUGGGGCUAAGUCGUAACAAGGUACC
rnacentral:rRNA from 1 species